UGGCCUUUAUGACCAGGGCUACACACGUACUACAAUGGCCGGUACAGAGGGCAGCGACACAGCGAUGUGAAGCGAAUCCCGAAAAGCCGGUCUCAGUCCGGAUUGGAGUCUGCAACUCGACUCCAUGAAGUUGGAAUCGCUAGUAAUCGCGGAUCAGCACGCCGCGGUGAAUACGUUCCCGGGCCUU
rnacentral:rRNA from 1 species